ensembl:snRNA LOC120102599 U6 spliceosomal RNA
GUGCUCAUUUUGGCAACACAUAUAAUAAAAUUGGAAUGAUACAGAAAAGUUAGCAUGGCCUCUGUGCAAGGAUGACUUGAAAAUAUAUAUAUAAAAUAAGUAAAAAGUCUUC